GAUGAACGCUGACAGAAUGCUUAACACAUGCAAGUCAACUUGAAUUUGGGUUUUUAACUUAGGUUUGGGUGGCGGACGGGUGAGUAACGCGUAAAGAACUUGCCUCACAGGUAGGGACAACAUUUGGAAACGAAUGCUAAUACCUAAUAUUAUGAUAAUAGGGCAUCCUAUAAUUAUGAAAGCUAUAAGCGCUGUGAGAGAGCUUUGCGUCCCAUUAGCUAGUUGGAGAGGUAACGGCUCACCAAGGCGAUGAUGGGUAGCCGGCCUGAGAGGGUGAUCGGCCACAAGGGGACUGAGACACGGCCCUUACUCCUACGGGAGGCAGCAGUGGGGAAUAUUGGACAAUGGACCGAGAGUCUGAUCCAGCAAUUCUGUGUGCACGAUGAAGUUUUUCGGAAUGUAAAGUGCUUUCAGUUGGGAAGAAACAAAUGACGGUACCAACAGAAGAAGUGACGGCUAAAUACGUGCCAGCAGCCGCGGUAAUACGUAUGUCACGAGCGUUAUCCGGAUUUAUUGGGCGUAAAGCGCGUCUAGGUGGUUAUGUAAGUCUGAUGUGAAAAUGCAGGGCUCAACUCUGUAUUGCGUUGGAAACUGUAUAACUAGAGUACUGGAGAGGUAAGCGGAACUACAAGUGUAGAGGUGAAAUUCGUAGAUAUUUGUAGGAAUGCCGAUGGGGAAGCCAGCUUACUGGACAGAUACUGACGCUGAAGCGCGAAAGCAUGGGUAGCAAACAGG
rnacentral:rRNA from 1 species